CUGUCGUAGAGGGGAACAAGAAGUUCCGGGUAGAAAACGACAGAACUGUGUUGUUAUGUCGAUAGUGGUUGUGUCCGUUUCAACUGUAUUAUUGUAGGUCAGAAUUAGACAGACAUGGACCUUAAACGUUUGUUUGCGGACCGCCAUGAUACCAUAGGAGGUCUGCAUCAACGGACUUCAGUGCAGGCCGACUCAGAUUAAGUCUGAGGCCGGUAACAUCAACAGUGAGGACAAA